rnacentral:rRNA from 1 species
CUACGUAGGGGGCGAGCGUUGUCCGGAAUGAUUGGGCGUAAAGGGCGCGUAGGCGGCGCGGUAAGUCUGGAGUGAAAGUCCUGCUUUCAAGGUGGGAAUUGCUUUGGAUACUGCCGCGCUUGAGUGCAGGAGAGGUUAUCGGAAUUCCCGGUGUAGCGGUGAAAUGCGUAGAGAUCGGGAGGAACACCAGUGGCGAAGGCGGGUAACUGGACUGCAACUGACGCUGAGGCGCGAAAGUGAGGGGAGCAAACAGGAUUAGAUACCCUGGUAGUCCACACUGUAAACGAUGAAUGCUAGGUGUAAGAGGUAUCGACCCCUUUUGUGCCGGAGUCAACACAAUAAGCAUUCCGCCUGGGGAGUACGGCCGCAAGGUUGAAACUCAAAGGAAUUGACGGGG